ACAACCUUGGUUGGUUUAUUUAACACUCCAGUCAGUAGGUGAGGAGCAGAAGUGGCAUCCAGCCAUGAAAAAUGGGUUGUGAUAAGGCGAGGUUUGAAACACAGCUUUGCGACUGACGCAAUAUGUGCAAUACUUAAUAUACCGAGACCUGGGAAACUGUAUUUCGUUCUAUUAUGUACGUGGUUGAAGGACAAUAAAGCUGAGUCUGAGAUCUUAUCAUGGGCACUGGACAGGUCACCAGUGCAUCACAGGGCAAACACGUCUUUGCAUGUCUUCGGACUGUGGGAGCAAACUGGAGUCCCUGGAGGAAACCCACACAAACACGAGGAGAACAUGCAAACGCCCCAAAGGAAGAAACCUGGACCCAUCUGGGAAUAAAAAAACCUUUUUAUAGUUUAA